AGUUUGAUCAUGGCUCAGGAUGAACGCUGGCGGCGUGCCUAAUACAUGCAAGUCGAACGCAUAUCUUCGGAUAUGAGUGGCGAACGGGUGAGUAAUACAUAAGUAACCUGGCCUUAAGAGGGGGAUAACUAUUAGAAAUGAUAGCUAAGACCGCAUAGGUAUGAAGAUCGCAUGAUCGACAUAUUAAAUAUCCCACGGGAUAGCUGAAGGAUGGACUUAUGGCGCAUUAGCUAGUUGGUAGGGUAACGGCCUACCAAGGCGACGAUGCGUAGCCGACCUGAGAGGGUGGACGGCCACACUGGGACUGAGACACGGCCCAGACUCCUACGGGAGGCAGCAGUAGGGAAUUUUCGGCAAUGGGGGGAACCCUGACCGAGCAACGCCGCGUGAGGGAGGAAGUAUUUCGGUAUGUAAACCUCUGUUAUAAAGGAAGAACGAUGCAUGUAGGGAAUGACAUGCAAGUGACGGUACUUUAUGAGGAAGCCACGGCUAACUACGUGCCAGCAGCCGCGGUAAUACGUAGGUGGCGAGCGUUAUCCGGAAUUAUUGGGCGUAAAGAGGGAGCAGGCGGCAGCUAAGGUCUGCGGUGAAAGCCCGAAGCUAAACUUCGGUAAGCCGUGGAAACCGAGCAGCUAGAGUGCAGUAGAGGAUCGUGGAAUUCCAUGUGUAGCGGUGAAAUGCGUAGAUAUAUGGAGGAACACCAGUGGCGAAGGCGACGAUCUGGGCUGCAACUGACGCUCAGUCCCGAAAGCGUGGGGAGCAAAUAGGAUUAGAUACCCUAGUAGUCCACGCCGUAAACGAUGAGUACUAAGUGUUGGGGGUCAAACCUCAGUGCUGCAGUUAACGCAAUAAGUACUCCGCCUGAGUAGUACGUUCGCAAGAAUGAAACUCAAAGGAAUUGACGGGGGCCCGCACAAGCGGUGGAGCAUGUGGUUUAAUUCGAAGCAACGCGAAGAACCUUACCAGGUCUUGACAUCGAUCUAAAGGAUCCAGAGAUGGAUAGAUAGUUAUAGAGAAGACAGGUGGUGCAUGGUUGUCGUCAGCUCGUGUCGUGAGAUGUUGGGUUAAGUCCCGCAACGAGCGCAACCCUUGUCGUUAGUUACCAGCAGUAAGAUGGGGACUCUAGCGAGACUGCCUCUGCAAGGAGGAGGAAGGCGGGGAUGACGUCAAAUCAUCAUGCCCCUUAUGACCUGGGCUACACACGUGCUACAAUGGACGGAUCAAAGGGAAGCGAAGCCGCGAGGUGAAGCGAAACUCAAAAACCCGUUCUCAGUUCGGACUGCAGUCUGCAACUCGACUGCACGAAGUUGGAAUCGCUAGUAAUCGCGAAUCAGAAUGUCGCGGUGAAUACGUUCUCGGGCCUUGUACACACCGCCCGUCACACCAUGAGAGUUGGUAACACCCGAAGCCGGUGGCCUAACCGCAAGGAAGGAGCUGUCUAAGGUGGGACUGAUGAUUGGGGUGAAGUCGUAACAAGGUACCC
rnacentral:rRNA from 1 species